rnacentral:lncRNA from 1 species
GGGUAUACCCGAAAAAUGAAAAAACCCAAACUUUAAAGGUCGAUAUCUCAGCUUCUAUGGGAGCUAUCGGGAAAAUUCCGACGGUUUUGUCUUAGUUUCGUCAUUUUGAAUUCAACGAGACCAUCCGCAAGGUCGCAGCUCUUACGAUAGCCGAGAUAUGGCAUUUUUGAUGCCCAUUUUUGGCCUCAAAAACGGACGUCGAAAACGACUUUUUUAGGAUUUUCAAAGUGCUCUCAUUCCCUUAGUUCUGCUCGGAUCCUGUUAUAACCCGGUGUUUUCGUAAUCUAGGUGACCCAAAUAACACGCUGGUAUACUUAGUUUGAUUUUGAAAAAAAUCAAUUUUUGGUGAAAAAAUUCGAUACGGGGGGGUAUAUCCGAAAAAUGAAAAAACCCAAACUUUGAAGGUCGAUAUCUCGGCUUCUAUGGGAGCUAUCGGGAAAAUUCCGACGGUUUUGUCUUAGUUUCGUCAUUUUGAAUUCAACGAGACCAUCCGCAAGGUCGCAGC